UUGUUGGACACAAAAUUUCGGAUUUGGGCACUGCUUGGAACACAGUGAAUACACGAUAAAACCUCAGCUUUGGUCCCGUAUGAUUUGUCAACUGGCAUUAAGGUUUAAGAAGUUCCUCUAUUCUUUGAGUUCGAGUUUGGUCGCAUUAGUGGCGGUUUCUGUGCGAGAUUUUGCCGAUUGUCUGAAGUUUCCGUUCACAACUCCAUCAGUCCAUUAGCUUUGAAUUUCAAAUCCAGAGACACUGAGCCAGCAUUGAUGAGUUUGAGGACUGAUGAGAUACAUCAAAGUCGAGAACUGAGUCUCAAUAAUUUUUCCCCACAUCUUUGAACCACAUAACUAAUUGAGCAAAAGCUGCAACAAAUAUUGACAACCAGUGUGGUUUGAACGUUUGGUGGGUUGCCUAUCUUCUUUUUCCAUGGCCAACUUGAUUCGCGCUAAUGUGGACAAUGAAAUGGUCAAAGCUGUUGCUGCAGUUGUCUUCAAGGGGCACUGGGACAAUCUUUUGAAGCCUAAGAUUGGUUCAUCUGUGACUUCCACCACUAUUAGCCAAGCUCUUCUUCAUAUAUCACAAUAUUAUUUCUCCCUCUCAUGGUCAUUCUUUCAGUGGGCUGAAUCAGUUCCCAAUCACAAGCAUUCGUUGCAAUCCUCUUGGACUAUGAUGUACAUACUCACCAAACAAAAACACUUCAAAACUGCACAAGACAUGCUUCAGAAGGUGGCGGUCAAAAACUUUUUAUCAUCACCGACAGUUCUGAAUGCGCUUGUGAGAUCUAAUAUGAAUAAUGAUGUGAACUCACAUCUUUUAAGUUGGUUGGUGAUAUUCUAUGCUAAUUCAAAACUACCCCAUGAUGCAAUUCAAGUUUUUGAGCAUAUGAGAGUUUGUAAGCUUAUGCCCCAUACACAUGCUUGUACUACCCUUCUGAAUUCAUUGGUCAAGGAUGGGUUGACUGAUACUUUGUGGAAAAUUUACAAAAAGAUGCAAAAAAUAGGGGUCCUUCCGAAUAUCUAUAUCUAUAACGUGCUUAUGCAUGCCUGUUGUAAGUCUGGUGAUGUAGAGCGGGCUGAUGAUUUAUUGAGAGAAAUGGAGUUUAAAGCUACACUGCCUGACCUUUACACUUAUAACACAUUGAUAUCAUUGUACUGCAAGAAAGGCAUGCAUUAUGAAGCUUUGUGCGUGCAGGAUAGGAUGGAAAGAGCAGGAGUAUGUCCUGAUAUUGUAACCUAUAAUUCCUUAAUUUACAGUUACUGCAGGGAAGGGAGGAUGAGGGAGGCUAUGAGACUUUUCAAGGAAAUUAAAGGUUCUACGACUAACCUGGUUACUUACACCACAUUGAUAGAUGGAUAUUGCAGAGCCAACAAUGUUGCUGAAGCUUUACGAUUGAAAGACGCAAUGGAGACAAAGGGUUUGUAUCCCGGGGUUGUUACUUACAACUCAAUUCUUCGGAAAUUGUGUGAGCAAGGCCAGAUGAAGGAUGCAAAUAUACUAUUAAAUGAGAUGAAUGAGAAGAAAGUCAUACCUGAUAAUGUGACUUGCAACACUUUGAUUAAUGGUUACUGCAAGAUCGGGGAUAUGGAAUCUGCUCUUAAGGUGAAAAAUAAGAUGUUGGAAGGUGGACUAAAACCUGACCGCUUUACUUACAAUGCUAUGAUUCAUGGAUUUUGUAAAGUAAAGGAUACAGAUGGGGCCAAAGAAGUAUUAUUUGACAUGGUUAGGGUUGGACUUUCUCCCAGCUGCUGCUCAUAUUCGUGGCUUGUGGAUGCUUACUGCCAUCUGAAUAAUGAGGUAGCUGUUGUCUCAUUGCCAGAUGAGUUUGCGAAAGGAGGUCAUCUUGUUGAUGUUUCCUUUUAUAGGGCAAUUAUAAGGAGGUUGUGUAGGAGAGGUAAAAUUGAUGGUGCUGAAAAAGUUUUCCACAUUAUGCAAACAAAGGGAGUGCUCGGAGAUAGUCUAAUAUAUGCUACUCUUGCAUAUGCUUUCUUUAUGGUAGGGAAGGUUGAUGCUGCAUCAUAUUUGUUAGACGACAUGUACAAAAGAAGGCUAAUGAUAACCCUAAAAAUGUACAAAAGUUUUAAUGCUUCUUACUCUGAUGAGAAUACCCUUUUAAAUAUGUUUUGGAAUAAUGUGGUUCAAAGAGGUCUGAUUUCCAGAACUGUUUACGAUGAAAUCCAGUCAUGCAAUUCUUAGAUAUCUGGCUUGUGCAUUUCCAGGAAUUGCAGAUCAUUGUACAUUGUUUGGUGUAAAUAUCGGAUGCGGUCAAGUUUUUACCUGAACAAACCAAAGAAGCACUCCAACAGAAAAGAAGAACUAGUAACGUAUUAGCAGAUUGGAGAAUGCCUGCUCAACAACAGCACCGAAUAAUAAACAAGCCCUAUAAAAAUUUGAGAAGAGAUGAAUGUGAACACACAGUACCCUGCCGACUAAUACGAAAGAGCAAAGGUAGACUCUGUGUUGGAUUGGCAUCACUCAAACUUGCGUCAUGGCACAGCUGUAUAUAUCUUUGAUACUGUUCUCGCUCCUGCUUUUGGGUUGACUUUGAAUCCACAAGCAGCAGCAGAAGCUGAGAAAGUCCUUUUGGCAUCUCUUGCUAAUAUCGAGUCUGUUUGGAUCCAGAAAAAAGGGCGACUUUUGCUUGGGAGUGGCCAACCUUCAAUUGCAGAUCUUAGCUUAGUGCGUGAGAUCAUGGAACUUGAGGUGGAAGAAUGAAAGCAAAGCACAAGCAUUUGAAACCAACGCAAAGGAUAUGCAGUGUGAAUUAACUACAGCAAAAGACAAGCUGGAAAAAUCAAGGACAGAAAUCCAUGGCACAUGAUCAGAGAGAGGUAACAUCUACCCCGAAUUCACCUUUAUUGUCAUUAGCCAAGCAAAUUGAGAAGGAAAAACAUGUGUUUGUCGGUUGAAAAAAUGCCAUUCAGAACUUGCAAAUCAAAGAGGUGUUGAAGUGUUUUCAACAAAAGAUUUGCCACCUGUUUCUCUUGGGAAACAACUAGAGAAGGAAAAGUGCAUGUUUAUGCACUGUCUGAGGGAAAAUCGCGGAGCCAAUGACAGGAGUGGUAGAUCAGAACUUUCUUCUGUUGGGAUAAGAACAGAACAUUCUUGCAGCAAAAAAUCAGGAGUACUAAAAAAGCCACCAUUUAGAGAUGUUGGGAAUUCAUCACCCAUUAUUGGUGAGGCAAAAUAGUAAAGCAGUUUACCCUUUGCACAACCCUUAAAGCUAAGUAAGCCAAAUGUCUCUUUGUUUUAGAAGUUUUGUCAUGUUAUUUGUCUUCUUCAAGUGAUUAUUUGCUUAGUAUUGAUUGGUGGAAGCCUUUUGUAGAGCAAACAGUUUUGGUAGUAAUAAGAGUAUUUGCAUUGCUAAUUUUGCUA